rnacentral:rRNA from 1 species
CUGCUGCCUUCCGUAGGAGUCUGGGCCGUGUCUCAGUCCCAGUGUGGCCGUCCACCCUCUCAGGCCGGCUGCUGAUCGUCGCUUUGGUGGGCCGUUACCCCGCCAACUGGCUAAUCAGACGCGGGCCCAUCCUGUACCACCGGAGUUUUCGAAGGAUUACCAUGCGGUAUUCCCUAUUAUGCGGUAUUAGCACCUAUUUCUAAGUGUUAUCCCCCGGUACAGGGCAGGUUGCCCACGCGUUACUCACCCGUCCGCCACUAAGACAG